CGAACGCUGGCGGCAGGCUUAACACAUGCAAGUCGAGCGAGAUCUUCGGAUCUAGCGGCGGACGGGUGAGUAACGCGUGGGAACGUGCCCUUUGCUACGGAAUAGUCCCGGGAAACUGGGUUUAAUACCGUAUACGCCCUUCGGGGGAAAGAUUUAUCGGCAAAGGAUCGGCCCGCGUUGGAUUAGGUAGUUGGUGGGGUAAUGGCCUACCAAGCCGACGAUCCAUAGCUGGUUUGAGAGGAUGAUCAGCCACACUGGGACUGAGACACGGCCCAGACUCCUACGGGAGGCAGCAGUGGGGAAUCUUAGACAAUGGGGGCAAACCCUGAUUCU
rnacentral:rRNA from 1 species